rnacentral:misc_RNA from 1 species
UAUUAAGAACUAUCGGGCCACAUGUU